rnacentral:tRNA from 1 species
GCCUCGGUAGUGUAAUGGAUCAGCACGGAAAUUGGAAAUGAUACAGAUGUAUACGCGGGUUCGAACCCCGCCUGAAGUA